CAUAGGAUGCUAGUUCUGGAGGGUCUAAUUUUAUUAGGGUGGAGGCCCCAGGCUAAGGGUGGUGGUGGGAUGAGGCUAGGUUCAAGAUUCUAGUGUUCUGAACAACUUGAAAAUAACCAACAGUUAUUUGAAUAUGCACCAAAUGCAUAAACCUGCACCAACUUGCAAAUUAGACCCUAUAUACGUUAGUUUGCCCUCUACUAAGUAAGAAAUCCUUGACAGUAAGCUUUGAAAUUUUUGUGUGUAGAAAGUGCACCGAGUGUAUAGUUUUAUUCUUUAUUCAGAACAUUUAGCAGAAAUGAACAUUUUUAAUGACUAGUGAUUUCUGUACUUUAAGAAAGUGAUUUUAGUAAUUUUAUUAUAUAGCAUGUAUUGUAUAUGAAGAAUGAAAAUUUUAUGAAUAGUAGGAUAUGAGUGUGUAUGGUGUCAGCGGAGGAAUAUUAGUAAUACCAAACUCACAAUAACUCAUGAAGAAAAACGCAAAGAAAUUGUUUUUAAAAUCAAUGCCAGUAAAUCUAAAAAUAUUUUGUCUUG
rnacentral:lncRNA from 1 species